rfam:Sugiyamaella lignohabitans strain CBS 10342 chromosome C, complete sequence.
GCUCCAGUUGCGUAGCCUGGUUUAUCGCCUCGUGCUUAUAAUUGUUCAACGGCAUUUAUGUUAAUGUCACGGUCGUGUGAGAAACGCGAUGGUCGUGGGUUCAAAUCCCACCUGGAGCA